CCAAUAGCGUAUAUUAAAGUUGUUGCAGUUAAAAAGCUCGUAGUUGAAUUUCGGAAUCAAUUUAUUGGUCGUGCAAUAGUACGUACUGGUUUUAUUGGUUUCUCCCUUCUGAUGAACCAUGAUGUCAUUAAUUUGGUGUUAUGGGGAAUCAGGACUGUUACUUUGAAAAAAUUAGAGUGUUUAAAGCAGGCUCACGCUUGAAUACAUUAGCAUGGAAUAAUGAAAUAGGACGUUUGAUUCUAUUUUGUUGGUUUCUAGGAUCGACGUAAUGAUUAAUAGGGAUAGUUGGGGGCAUUAGUAUUCAAUUGUCAGAGGUGAAAUUCUUGGAUUUAUUGAAGACCAACUACUGCGAAAGCAUUUGCCAAGGAUGUUUUCAUUAAUCAAGAACGAAAGUUAGGGGAUCGAAGACGAUCAGAUACCGUCGUAGUCUUAACCAUAAACUAUGCUGACUAGGGAUCGGAUGAUGUUAAUUUUUUAAUGACUCAUUCGGCGCCUUACG
rnacentral:rRNA from 1 species